rnacentral:lncRNA from 1 species
CUCUCUGCUUCAAAAACCAGAGAGAAACUGUUACAGAGGGCCAGCUGGGAUGUAGUCAAAUUAGUGGAUUAUUAUUACCUUGGGGACGUUGGAAAUCAGUUGAGGAUGGUCUUACUUCUCCAUGUUCUGAAACCAUUUUAAACCAAAACAAAAAACAGACAACCUUGCAGGAAACUCAGAGUAAAUAAAUAGUCCUUGUCUGUUAAGUGAAAUUGUUCCUUAAGGUGGAGAGACUGAGACAGGAUCCGCCAGAAGAUUACACACUAUGUACAUUAAUAGCAAAAUCAGCUAGAAGAUUGAGAGUUUCUACCAUUAGGAAACAUACACAAAUACCAUCACACCCAGAAAAACCCAUCGAAGCUGUUUUGUCAAAAGUGUGCCUGAGAGGUAGGGGCUGGAAAAGAUAAAUGCAAACUGAAUCUGGGGGACAUCUCCUCCUGAAGAGGAGAAA